rnacentral:rRNA from 1 species
AGGACGAACGCUGGCGGCGUGCUUAACACAUGCAAGUCGAGCGGUAAGGCUCCUUCGGGAGUACACGAGCGGCGAACGGGUGAGUAACACGUGAGCAAUCUGCCCUUCACUUUGGGAUAACUUCCGGAAACGGAAGCUAAUACCGAAUACGACCACUUCAGGCAUCUGAUGGUGGUGGAAAGUUCCGGCGGUGAAGGAUGAGCUCGCGGCCUAUCAGCUUGUUGGUGAGGUAAUGGCUCACCAAGGCUUCGACGGGUAGCCGGCCUGAGAGGGUGACCGGCCACACUGGGACUGAGACACGGCCCAGACUCCUACGGGAGGCAGCAGUGGGGGAAUAUUGGACAAUGGGCGAAAGCCUGAUCCAGCAACGCCGCGUGAGGGAUGACUGCCUUCGGGUUGUAAACCUCUUUCAGCGGGACGAAGCGAAGUGACGGUACCCGCAGAAGAAGCACCGGCCAACUACGCGCCAGCAGCCGC